UAUUCUACUGUUUGCUGCUACCCCAGUGAAUGGUGUUGGCGGUGAAUGUUCAGAAAACGACAGUUCAGUGAAUGGAAGCAUAUCAUCUUUGAAUAUUGUGCUCCUGUUCAAUAGCACAGUUUCAAUAAUUACAUAACAAAGUACAGGCCAAUGUUGAUUUUUAUACUGAGGUACUAAAUACGGCCUGGUAACUGCCUAUGGCUGAUCUUCCGGGGAUGUCUUUGGUGUUCUGAGAUAAAACUUGUGGCUCGUGUUUUAUUCACCGCUUUGUCUUACAGAGUUAACGGUUGCGUUUCCAAUAAGAAAGCAAAGUCAGUGCUCAAAUGUCCUGGCAUUCUCACGACCAACCUCCUCUCUUCAUCGAACACCUCAGGGCUUUUCAUGUCUGGGAAACCGUAACCAGGCCCCUUCCCACUACGUCUCUCAACUUCUUCAGAUCCUAUACUAGCCCUUCAGUCAGUCAAAAACUCUUCAGCAUGGAGGUAAAUAGGCCCGCGCCGAGAACCUAACAGCAAAAGAGAAAGCGAAUGCGCGCGUGGCCCUCUGGGAAUUGUAGUGUCGGGAGGCACAAUCGGGCAGGAAACCGACUUCUCAGGCGCCCAAGAGUCCGAGUUCGAGGAGGCGGGGCGAGCGGAGAGACGUAAAGCCCGCGCGCAGCCUUCUGGGAGCUACAGUAUUAAGCUCUGGUGUUGCUCUCAACUUUCCUCCUGCGGUUCGUGACAAGUGACGAACCGGGGUCGAUCUUGGUCUAGGCUCGCACUCCGAGCCUGUCGGCCACAGAAUGAGGGUCAGGACCAAGGGGCGAGACCGGAAGCGCACGCACGGGCCUCUGGGAGGUGUAGUCGGCGCGCAGGCGCAAUCCCAGCUAGUAGCGGCGGCCUUUGUUUUGCGAUUCGGCGAUUUAGAAAUCAGACAAGAAAACAGAUUUUCAGAUCCAAAACAAAGCAUCUCUGGAAAAUAGUAGUUUUUCUGAUGGGAAAACUGGGGGUGGUGUAUGGCACUUCAAGAAUAAGAACAUUGUAGGUCCCUGAGAACACAGGUGUGAGAGGUAAGUGGAGCAGGUGAUUUUCAUUCCUAUGAAAAUACCCACUUAGAAGAAAGAGAAUGGGGCUGAGGAAAACUUGAGUCUGAGCACUGAUCUCUCAGCUCAACCAAUGACUUUUGAAAAGCAAGGCCCCCUCACAUGUGGGGAACACAUGGAAAGGGAGAAGCUGGACUCAAAUGAUCAAUCAAAAACUAAUACAAAAAAGAAACUCUACAAAUGCCAGAAAUUUCUAAAGGACUUUAGUCACAGUUCAGCACUCAUUGAACAUCACCAAAUACACACAGUAGAAGGAAGACUUUAUUCAUGCUGUGAAUAUGGAACGGUUAAGCACUAACCAAACACCAUAAACAAUCAACACCAAUGAGAAACCGUACAAAUAUUCUUAGUGUGGAAGGGCCUGUAACCAGAUUGCCCCACUGAUCCAGCACCAGAGAACUCACAAAGGUGAGAAGCCAUAUGAGUGAAGUAAAUGUGGGAAAUCCUUCAGCUUCAGCUCCUCCUUCAACCAGCAGACUCACACAGUUAACAAGCCCUAUGAGUGCAGUGAGUUAUGGAUCAUCAAAUUAUCCACCUCACCCAGCACCUACGAACCCACAAUGGAGAGAAGCCCUGUCAUUGGGAAUUUGGCAAGGCCUUGAGCCAUAUAGCUCAUCUCUGACCAAACACCAUCAAAUCCACACUCGAGAGAAGCCUUAUGGAGGCUAUGAGUGGGAGAAAGCCUUCACACAGGAGAAAAGCCCUGUGAAUGCAGUGACUGUGGCAAGGCCUUCAGCCACAGCUCAACUCUAACAGAAUAUCAGAAAACUCAUAAUGGGGAAAAGCUAGCUUGCUCCCCUCAUUUAGCAUCAGAGGAGCCACACAGGAGAGAAGCUCUAUGAAUGUAGUGAGUGUAGAGCCUUCAGCCAGAAUUUCUUUCUCAUAGAACAGCAGAGGAUUCACACCAAAGAAAAGCCUUAUGGGUGCAGUGAAUGUGGGAAAUCCUUCAGCCACAGCUCAUCACUCAGCCAGUAUGAAAGGACACACACUGGGAAAAAGCCUUAUGAGUAUCAGGAUUGUGGCAAGGCCUUCAAUUAGAGCACCCAAUCUUACUCAGCACCAGAGGAUCCAUAGGAGAGAAACCAUACAAGUACAAGGACUGUGACAAAGCCUUCACACACAGCUCUUCUCUUACCGAUCACCAGAGAACUCAUACCUACUCCACAUGGGGACGUCUUAAGCCAAUCCAUCCAGUACUAGACUUACCACUGUCAUUCUCAUGAGAACACAAAUAUACAUAAAGUUGUCAUGUACCACACUCUCCUCAGAGGUAUCAGAAAUGACAGUGACCAUCAAGCUCCAAGUCAUUCCUGGAUCUAAACAGUAAGAAAACGUGGACACCAUCAACACGAAUCCAUCAACCUUGAAUGUUCAUUAAUGUAUUCUAGUAUCUACAAAGAAGAAAUUGAACAAGUACAGAUUUGGGCAAAUUAAACUUGAUGGCUUUACAAAUGAAAAACGCCUGAAAAUAGCUCCCAGUUUCUACCAUGGGUCUCUCCAUCCACCUUCCCAACCACUAGCCUUUUCUGUUGUGUCCAGGCAGCAGAAAGCAGAUUGACUGUUUCCAUCAGGGAUCCCUCUCUGGAAGAAGGAAUUAAAACAGGAGAUAGACUCCCCUCAGGAAUUAAGAGCCUUCGAGAUAUCCUGGGAGAGUGGGGAGAGGAACUAUGACAUGGAGUAGAGGUCCUUGUUGGCUAAAUUAGUAAUUAAGAGCCUGCACAGACCCAGGUUUUGACUGCUGUGGGUACCAUACACACCAUGAUGGAUAAGAACUGGACAUCGUGCUCCUUCCUACCCCAACCUGCGCUACCACCCUGAAGGAUAUACACCCAAUGGCCAACCAACCAAGAUCUCACUUCAGUAACCAGAGCUUAGAUACUGUACCUGCUUGGUUUGUUCAUCUACAAACAUCCCAGUUAUCAUCACCCACCUGCUAGAGAAGCAAGUGGAGUUUCUAGUACUUUUCACCUCCCGUCUGCCAACUCUGCCCAACCUAGGAGGCCUCCAACCUGUGAGCAUCAGCUUUCUCCCAAUCCGAUUAUGUACACCAGAAUGUGCGAAGCAAAGCUGUCUAUGAACUACCAGAAACAGGUCUCAGAGUCAACAGAAGCAUGGAAGGGCUGUUUGCUUCCCUUCUCUUUCAGUCAGAGAAGAGUAAGUAGUAUCAUCAUCAUCCUUAAUAAAAACUAUCAACAUCGGUUAACGGCUGUUUGGUCUCGAGGAUGUCUGGACACAGCAAGCAGGGCGGCAAGGCUCACGCCAAGGCCAAGACUCGUUCCUCCUGGGCCGGCCUGCAGUUCCCUGUGGGCCACGUGCACCGGCUCCUCCGCAAGGGCAACUACUCUGAGCAGGUGGGCACCGCUGCCCGGGUGUACCUGGCGGCGGUGCUCGAGUCCCCCAUUUGUACCUGGCGGCCGUGCUGGAGUACCUGACGGCCGAGAUCUUGGAGCGGGCUGACAACGCGGGCCCAUGACAACAAGAAGCAUCAUGCCGGGCCACCUGCAGCUGACCAUCCGCAAUGAGGAGGAGGAGCUCAACAAGCUGCUGGGCCGCGCUUGACCAUUGCGCAGGGCGGCAUCCUGACCAACAUCCAGGCUGCUGCCCAUGGAGAUAGAGAGCCACCACAAGGCCAAGGGAAAAUAAGUCAUUUAAAACAAAACAGUAAAGGCUCUUUUCAGAGCCACCCACACUGUCUUUAAAGAACUGAACAUUUUGGAUGUGUAACUUUAUAUGUAAUUUCCUCUAGCCAAUUGUUGUCUUAAAGUUGACCAUUAGAUUUUUGAGCCUUACUGUGGGAGGAUUCGUUUUCCCCCUCUUGUUCAUCGUCGAAUAGAAUCCGUUAACAGUUAACCCACAGCUUUCCACACCAGAAUCAGUGCUUUGGGGUAAAUGGGGUUGGAAGAAACUACACUGAUGGGCAGAAGAAUCAAUGUGACAAUUUGAACGCCUUUUUGUUGUUUAAUAUUCCUCCUAAACUUCAUAAUCCCUUCACACAAGUUUGAAAAAUUUAAAAUACACUAGUUUUUGCUUUAAAAAGAACUAUCAACAUCAAAACUAAAAACAUCACCAUUAGUAACAGUAGGUGUAACAAUAAGCUCGGGAAUUGCAACAUAAGGCACCUGAGAACAACAGAUCCGGACUGAACACCAUGGUCCCAAAGCAACACAUACUUCACCAUAGCUCUGUAAGGCAGGACUUACAUAUACUUUGUGAGGAACUGAAGCCAAGAGGCUAAUCCAUUUCAGUUCACAACCACAUGAGCAGUCCCAUGAAUAAAAUCUAACAAGACAAAUAUGUGCUUUCAUUCAUCUUGCCAAGAAAUACGUAGACACAGUCCAAUAUUUCCAUACAAUUUUUACUUUCGUUUAGUUGAGAUUGCAGUUCUUGCAUAGGCCCUCUAAAAUGGGGAUUUCCCAUUUAAAUGAGCACCUAUUUACCAGACUUUUUUGUUGUUUAUUUGUUUAUUUGUUUUUUUAUACAUAGAAAGUUCUAAAUGCCCACAUGGAUGUAAGUGUAUGUGUACAAUACUAAUCACAAAAUGUACUUCAGUAGAAGCCCCAUAAGGACGCAGAUGUUCUUUCUAAGCAGUUUGUUAAGCCCUGUGUGGUAACAUGCAAUCAAUCCCAGCACUCACAAGCUGAGACAGGAGGAUCAGGAAUUCAAGGCCUGUCUUCAAAAGGAAAAAAAAUUAAUUAGCUGUUAAGAACCUAUGCACUCCUCUGUGCAGCUUCCUUCUAAUAAAUGAACAUUUUCAGCUUUCCAAUAAAAUCUUAAGAAUUACAUCUGAUAUGCCAAUCAUAGGAAGAUUACUAAUAUCCAAGUGGGAUGGACUGUAUCAAACAGUGGCACACAGACUUAACCAUCUUUAGUUCCAAUAGAUCUGCCAGUGUUGUUACCAUUUCAGCAACAGCCCUCUUGAAAGUUCUCAGAUAGAGGAAUCUUACUAGUCAUUCAAUUCCUCCUUCUGAUGCUACCAUUUCAUUAGGUGACUGAUGGGAAGAUGUAUGCUGUACAUGCUACUAAAAGAAAAGACUUACGAUUUAAACCAUGAUGCUACUGGAAGGUUAAAAUAUGAAAGGACACACUUAAGAGUAAAUGAAAUGUAGUUCAGUCCUCAGAGGGCUAACUUCCAGAUACCAAAGCCCCAUAAUUUACAAUGGCAUUAUGCCCCUCUUCUGGCAUGAUAUAGGGAUAUUUUAUUUGUACUGAAACGUGAUUUUAUUUGUAUGUUAAUAAAUAAAGUUUCCUGGGGAUCAGAGCUAAUAGCAAGCCAUAGCAGAAGCUGGGCGGUGGUGGUGUACGCCUUUAAUCCCAGCACUUGGGAGGCAGAGGCAGGCAGAUCUCUGUGUGGUCAAGGAUACAGCCAGCAUGGAAACACACACCUUUAAUCUCGAUACCAACCAUAGAAGACCUGGAAGUCUGUAUAGAUGGGCAGUGACGAGGAGGUCAUGUCGUUGGGUUUACAACCAAUGAGAAGGCAGAAUAAAAAGUCAGUAAAAAUGACAAACACACAGGAUGUAAGUCUCUUGCCGAGGAGGACAGCAGUGGCAGUGAAGGGUAAGGUUUUUAGCUCUUAGCUUUUGCUCUGACCUCUUGGGCUUUUAACUUUGCAAUUGGCUUUGUGUUUCUUGUUUAAUAAGAUUGUUCAUCUACAUGCCCCAGUAGACUUAAUGUUCUAGUUGAAAGUAUAAAUAAUAAAAUACAUUUAAGGUAGGUCUGGUGGUUCAUUCUUGAAACACCAGCACUGGAGACACAAUGAGACAAGAUGACUGCUGUGAAUUUGAGACCAGAAGGGCUACAUACUGAGUUCCAGGUCAGCUAAGGCAACAGACUUGGUUUCAAAAAUCCAAAUAAAGCCUAGCGAGAUGGCUCAGCCUAGGUAAUGGAACCUGCUGCCAAGACAGACAACCAGAGUCUCGUCUCCAUAACCCAUGUGGUAGAAGGAAAGAACCAGUUCUCACAGUUGCCAUCUGACAUCCAGAUGGGCACAACAGCUUUGUCACGCACAAAACAAAUAAAUGUAAUGAAAUAAAUGAGGUAAAUAAAUAUAGUAAUACACAUAAGGGGUUAAGGAUGAAGAGUAGGAGAGAGCAUGUGUCUAUCAUGUGUGAAUCCCAUAAACAUCUCCAAAAACAACGCAUUUAAAACCAUUAUAAAGCCUACGAAAACCAUUAUAGCUUAGCCCAGCCUAUCUGAAACACGCCCAGAACAUUUACGUUAGCCUCCAGUUGGGCAAAGGCAUCAAAGGCAAAGCUGGCUAAUAGUAAGUGUUCAAUCAUUCAUUACAUGAAAUACUGUACUGAAAACAUAUAGCAGUGCUUUCACAUCAUGGUACAAGCAAUGCAUGGUUAGGUCAAACGACUGUAAAUCAAGGGGGGUCUACUCACUUGUUAAAAAUAGAAAUCUACAAAAAAGCUGAGUGUGGAUUUAUACGGGGACAAAUGUCCUACAAGAGUGAGUCUAUAGAACUCAUUCCCUAAUGCACUAGAGUUGUAUGUAAUGCAGUAGCCACGUCGGUGUAGUAACAUGAAACCUUUUCUCUCUCUCCUUUUCUUCCUUCCUUUCUCUAAUGUGAAUAUCAGAGAACCAGAAGCUGCAUAUGUGGUUCAUACUUUAUUUUCAUCAAAUAAAGCAGCUAUGGAAGAGCAGCCCUCGGGAGGCUUUCCCCACAGCGCAGGGCGUCUUCUGUUUCUACCGUAAGGGUUUUUAAUCUUCAUUUUUACUUUAUUCACAUGUGUGGCACAUGCAUGAGUGAGUGUGUCUGUGCACUUGAGUGUCUAUAGAUACCAGAAGACAGAGUUGGAUCCCCUGGAGCUGGAACAGAAGUGGUUGUGAGCUGCCCAAUGUGAAUGCUGGGAACCAAACUCAGGUCCCCUGGAAGAGCAGCAAACAUUCUUAACCAAUGAGUCAUCACUCCAGCCCCACUGAGUUUUCUUAAAACACCAAGAAAUGCAUCAUCUUAACACAGUUCUCUACAUUAUCCCUCUAUGGAUUAAUUCCAAAUGCAUUCUUUCAACAGAAGCAUUCCAGCAGAUAUUGCUGGCCCUUAAACUGAUUUUGUUAACUGAGUCUACUGAUGGGAAAAAAGAGCCAGCCUUCUAAAUAAAAUGCUUUGCAUGAUCAUUCCACGCCUAUGAUUUUAUUCAGUGGUGCUGAGGAUUGAAGUCAGGACUUCACAAAUGCUAGGAAAGCCCUCCCUGCCACUUAACUAUAAGCAUACCCCUAAAAAGCCUAUUUAUAAACGUUUACAUAUCAGAAAAAUGUAGUGAGAAAUAAAGUCUUUCUCUUCUCUCAA